rnacentral:rRNA from 1 species
AAAGCGUGCGCAGGCGGUUAUGUAAGACAGUUGUGAAAUCCCCGGGCUCAACCUGGGAACCGCAUCUGUGACUGCAUAGCUAGAGUACGGUAGAGGGGGAUGGAAUUCCGCGUGUAGCAGUGAAAUGCGUAGAUAUGCGGAGGAACACCGAUGGCGAAGGCAAUCCCCUGGACCUGUACUGACGCUCAUGCACGAAAGCGUGGGGAGCAAACAGGAUUAGAUACCCUGGU